UUUUUUUUUUUUUUUUUUUUUUUUUGGUUGGCAAGCGAGGUUGUGGGGACCCCUACCCCUUUUAAAUUACGUGUUGAAACUUAUAUCAACAAUCCGUUGUUGACGUGUUUCGAACCCACGACCUCUCCACUUUGUGAGAGGGGUGUUACCAUUGAGCCACAGGCUCAUUCGCAUAAUUUCCUUCACCCUAUAGGUUAAGAAGGAAAUCUUAACCAAUUUCAAAACCAAACAAAAACUUUUAAACCCCAACCAAAUAAAUUAUCUAAGCUUUGGUGCUUGAUGAGACCAAAUUCUUCUUCUCGGUCAGAUGAAAAGAAAGAUGGAGUAACUUCGAUUUAGAACCCUAGCUGUUGUUGUUGCUCGAGAUGGAGACAUAUGAUUUCUCUCUUUUCCAUCUAUGUAAGUGAGUUUUCUGGUUGUUGGGUUCUGCCCGAUCCAAGAUUAUAUGGUCUGAUCUGAUCCAUCAAAAACAAAUCCAGCCCACAGUUCUGGUUUCUAAGUCAGAUCCUAUUGAUUCUUGGUCCAGUCGACUGGAGUCCAGUCGGCUGGACUGACUCUGCUCUUCAGAAAUCCCCAACUUGCCAGGAUCACUGAAAGAUCUCCAGAACUUGUUUCACAAACUGAUUGAAUCCACUUAAUACAGACACCAUGGAGAGUAAAGACACACACAUGGGACCUCGGAUAGGAGUUGCAAGUUCAAGACAAGGUCUCGACAAAAUGCACUACAGAUAGGGUACCAGGAGCAAGUAUGAAAACACAUAAGAAGCGAUAAACACAUCAUACAAAUGCACUACAAAAACAUAUAUGUAUCCGCAUGUGCAAUGUAAAUUUUACCAAUCGAGAAAUCAUUAAAAAAUAUGUAAAACAAGUUAUCUUGGUAUAAACUUUAUUAAGAAUGCAAAUGCAAUAAGCAACAGAAAAAAUGCAAGAACAUAAUAACAAAAAAUGCGACACAUAGCAUGCAUAAGAGAUUAAGCAUACAUGAUACUCACGAAGCCUUAACCACUCAAAAUGGUCUCUUGGGAGUCAGAUCAUACUAUCCACAUAGGGACUUAAUAUGAUCUUCGAUCAAACAUGUCCAAGUGUGCCGACCACAAAGAAGAUGGUCUUCACUCACACAUGUGACAUACCGACCAUACCCCUUUGGCUACACUUAUGAUUAGACCCUCAAGAAACACAAAAUCAUUGUCAAAACCUACAACUCAAGAUACAAUUUGAACUAAAAUACUAAAGAUACAUGUGAGAAGAUAUAAAAGACAAGAAAGCACCAAUCACAUGUUGUGAGACCUAGCAUCAGGAAGAAUAUAACAAAUAAACACUGUGAGAUCACACGUAUGAGAAUAACCAUAAAAGAUAGGCAUGAUGCGCAGAAGGAGGCUAGAACAUAACAAUAUAGCUAUAUCCUAGGGAAUGGCAUCGCACCACUUGAUGACAAGUGACUGCCUGCGUACCCCCACUAAAUUAGAUAUGCAAAGGGGUACAGGGGAUCAGACGCCUCGUAGUUUGGUCAACGGGCCCACUUAGCACAUAAGUGCAAAUAAACCCGAGGAAUUCACCUAGAGACUAGCUGCAAGAACAAUAAGAGGACUAAGUAACAAGACACUUAAAAACAAUAAUUAAAAUAAAUCGAAUAGAAGGGUGGGAGGGAUAGAAGUGGGAGGAUGACCCGAAACAACUAUUCUCGCUUGUGUUUAAAUGAACUCCGUUCCUUAUAGCGGCAACGACGCCAUUUUGAUAAUAGCUAUUUGUGUAACUAUUAAUCAAAAGAUAGAUUUGUAUUGAAGUUCCUUUUUGUGCCUGUAUAAAAUGGAGAUCAAAGUAGACAAGUAACAAGCAAGGGUUGUACCCACCUCAGAGGGGGAGAUCUUAGCUCAAACACAACAGAAAACAAUGGUUAAGAAACACCAAGGAAAUCAAUAAUAAGAUUGGAGAUUGAUUUUACUUCCUACAUGCAAUAAUAACAAAUAAACCCUAACUUAAGAAUAUGGUAGAGAUGUAAAGAAAAUAUAUGAUGACAUAGGGGGGAAGUUGGUAUCCACAAACUAAAUCAUGCAAACAUAACAUGUAGUUCCUUCAUGUUCAAUUUAUAGUAAUUAAUAAGUCACAUCUCGGUUAUUCCAACUAAUCACUAAUACCUAUAAUAAUCAAGUAGUCACCUCUCAGCUAUUACACUCAAUUAAAACGAGAUUCUCUUAUGCAUGUUAUUGAAUGUCUUAUUAAUUAAACUGUCACCUCUCAGCUAUUCAAUCUAAUUAACUCAACAUAUUAAUUCAUAAAUAAACCGUCACCUCUCGGAUAUCAAUUUAAAUUCAAAAGGGUUCCAAUAAAAUAUAUAUACUGCAAAUAUGUAAUAAUCACCUCUCAGCUAUUUCACUACACAUCUACAAUAAAUAUAAACACAACCAUUAAAGCUAGGUCUCCCUAAACCCAAACAAUAGUAUUUUAAUAUUAUGGAUAACAAUAAUGUGCAAAUAAUCAUACUUACCUCAUAUCGCGAAUAGAAAUAAAUAAGAAAAUUUUGAAUCAUAAUGAACAAUAAGAACUAACAUGGUGCUUUUGCAUCAUCUUGGGUGCUUCCACCAUCCCCCUAAGAAGAUUUAGCUACUCAAGGAUGAUGACACGAAAGAAUAAAUAAUUAAAACACAAUACGUCAUAAUGGAAAAGUAAUGGAAUUGAUAUUGAUAAUUGAGUUGAUACAACGAAGAAGAACUCAAAGAAAUAUAAAAGGUAAAACUAGAUGAUACCUAAAAGAUACUUAAACCUUAAUUACAACUUCUCUUAUAUAGAAAUUACAAAGUAGAAUACUUGCAUGUAAAGACUUCCAAAUUAGGUCAAAUUCGUGGCUGCUGAUGUUGGUCUUCUAGAGACAUUAGGUCUUUAUGAAAACCUAAUUCUCUUGGGCUUAAUGUAAUUCGAACCUAGACCUUCAGUUUAAUAGCUCAUGGGACCAAAUCAGACUUCUGGAUCUUCUUGUGGAGCCUUUUUAAGUUUGGACUUAAAUAAGGCCUAAAAUAGAAAUUCUGACUUGUGGACUUUAUUAGGACCCGGUUUGGGCUGAGAAUUGGACCGCCUCACUUUUACAUCAAAUCAAGUCAACUGGUCUGACCAUGGGGUGCCCUCAGCAAAUCUUGUGGGUGCAAGUAUCUAUUUCCCCCUCUCUUGUGCAAAUAACACAUUUUUGCUUGCUUUUCUUGACUUUUAGCGGGCUUUAACAUAAUAUUCGCAUUUUUGCAUCAAAACAUGCUGUAGAACUCUUUCCAUUCUAUAGAACCUUAAGAAAAGAUAGACCCGAUCCUCAAAUUAUCAAUAGAACUACAAAAAAUGAGUACAAAAUUCCAGUAAACAUACCAGCACACAUAAAUCACGAUUAUUCUCUAUCGGCGCUUUUUGCCACCUUUCUUACCCUUUUUCUUGCCUUUUUGUUUGCUCCCCUUUUUCUUCUGUCCUCCAGUAAACAUACUGUCACCAAUGGGGCGUGCACUACGUUCAUUGCCUCCAUACUUGUCUUGUCGCAAUAGAUGCUUAACAUCCAGUACACCUUUUGAGAAAUGACCUUCGCUCGACUUCAACACCAUGUCCUCUGCCUUUCGUCUCUCUACUACUUUGUUAGAACUACUAGCAUACCUUCCCCCAGAAUGUCCAAGCAUCUACACACACACAAAAAAAAAGACUUAGAAACCCUUACGAUUUGGAGAUAUAAAGGAAUGAAAAUUUGAGAUACAAAAUCCACAAUGUCACCAAUCACCUUAUCCAUUUUCUGUUCUUUGUCUUUCUGUUUCUUCAUUGAUACUCUUGUCACACUUAGUGGGGUCCGAUGCUGCUUAGGAGGCUACACCAAUGUAGAGAACAAAGGAAAACCAGAGAGGGGUUUAAUUAUGCCAUGGAAAAAUAAACUCAGAACAAUAGAAGCAGUACUGAAAGAGGGUACAAAUCUCUUACCUUUCCACCUAGGGAAACUACCUUCCGAUUCAUCAACUCCUUCCUCUCUUUCCAUGUCAUGCGUGAUGAACCUAGAAUAAUUUAACAUGUUUGACCAAACAUAGUGAAGUAUAAGUGAUCUGAUCCCAUGACUUAGACCUAAUCAUAUUUAAGUAAAGUUACAAACGCACACACAUAUGGAGAUAAUGUAGCAUAUCUGUGUGAAAAGGCAGGGACGAUGUGUGUGAGUAUGCAUUUGGAUUAAGCACUCCUAUGUACAAAAGUAGAGAAUAUAGUAUGUCUUUCUAAACAUGCUGAAAUGUAUGUCAACUUGUGUGAGUCCAUGUGGUCAUGUGGAUACGUGUCAGCAGCCACAUACAAAUACAUGUGUGUACUGUAUGUAAAUUAUGCAUCAGUAAGUUGCAGAGAAUAAUUAGUUUUAGAGUUUGUCCUACUCUGAAGAUUAAGGUACAUGCAUAGUUACAUAAUAACAUUUGCUACUUGCAUAAGUUUCUUGUUAUAAAUUAAUAUACUUUGUGAGGGAGUAAAAUGACAGCAAAAAACUCACUCUACGAACUAAAGGUACAGGGUGAAUUGAUUUAAGAAUAUUCGAAUUGCCGAAAGUACAAUAGUGUAGUAAAAAUACUUAUAACAGAGUGCAAUUACUAACUUUCCACUCGUAAUUCGUAAAUAACAUUUGAAAUAAUAGAUGCAAAACUCAAAAGGCUUCCCUUAUGAUCGAAAACGAGGUGUUCUGAAGUCCAAAAUAUUCUGCACGAUGAUAAUGACCAAAGGGACACUAUCAGUCUACCAGUAUCCAUGGUUUUGGAAAACCCCAGUUGGAUAACUUACACAUUUAACCAAUUUUAAAUUAUCUCUGAAUCAAUAAUAAUUCAUUAUAGUGAUGAAGAAGAUGAUCUCCCCAAAAAUUGUCAUGAUGACAAUCAUAGUAAUAUGAAGGUAAUUUAUAGAUCCUUUUAAUCAAAUAAGAACCAAUGUCCCUCCCUAUGCCCCCUCAUCGUGAUUUUUUUCCAUUUCUAGCCUUUUUUUACAUAAACCUUAUCUUCUAACUCCCAACCUUAUCUUUUACUUGUUUUUUUUAGCAAUCUCCUCCUUCCGCCAUGGAAGGGGGUCCCCAAACCCUAAACCCACCACCAACUUCAACCACCACCAUUCCACCCACCCCACCUCCUAACCUCUCAACAGGAGAAUUGAACAACCAAGAUCCACCAGGUUGUGAAGAGACCCAAGCUAAAACUUCCUCAUGGAGUAGUCUUCUUAAAGAAAAGCCCCCUUCGGCAGGUAAUGAGAAGAUGAUGUUUAUUGAAUCCUGUUUUGUUAACAAUGUCCUUAAAAUUGAUGGUGCUAUAGAAGAUGAAGGCGUAAAGGAGUGGGAAGAUCGGAUUGUUGGCUUUUUCCUAGAUAAAAAGCUUCCUUACUCUAAAGUUAAUGAAUUGGUUAGAAACCACUGGAAACUCAGUGGGGAUUUAGUUAUUGCUCUCGACGGAGAUAUCUACUACUUUACAGUUCAAAACCAGCAAGAUCGUGACACAAUUUUAGAUGAAGGAGCUAUCCACCUUGCUGGUAAGCUGUUUGUUAUUCGAAAAUGGACUAAGGAGGUUGAAGAAAACAGAGGCAUGGUCAGAUCUGUUCCAAUAUGGGUCAAAUUCUUCAACAUCCCAAAACAUUUUUGGAAUGCUAAGGGAUUAAGCUCUAUUGCUAGUGUUUUGGGUAGUCCUUUAUGUAUGGAUAAGCAAACAAAUGCUCACUUUUGCGAGGAUUUGUGUGGAUAUCAGUGUUGAAAGAGAACUAAGAGAUACGAUUGCUAUAGAAACCAAAAGUGGCAAGAACUUCACCAUCCACCUUGAAUAUGCUUGGAAACCUUUGCUAUGUCCAAAUUGCAAAGUUUUUUGCCAUGGUGAGAAAAAUUGUCUGACCAGAUCUGAAAUGGAAGCACCAGUGAAAAUUGCUCGAAAUGAAAGGAAAUGGGUGCACCCCAAAAAAACUGCCACAAAAGGAAAGGAAAUCCAUGAAAAUGAGCGAAAUAGACCUCCUCCCAACCCUGGUCACAAGCAUCAUUGGCAACAACAAAAGGCUAAAAAGGAAAAUCCAGUGAGAAUUUUCCAGUGAGGAGAGAGCUCUACCUCAGUCGCCAGAGAGGCUGACAAGAGCAAAGACAACAGAUUUGCUGCUCUAGCUUCUAUUACAGAAGAAGAAACUUCACCCACCCUCAUCCCCCCCUCUUCUUCACUACAGCUAACCAUUGUUGAUGUUCCUGUCAAUGAUGUUGCCACCAAUCCCCUUCGUCUCACCUUGCCACCACAAACCUCCACCUCCUCUCCAUCUAAAACCUCCACCACCCCUCCACCAAACUCCGCCACUGCUUCCUCACCUCAAACUUUCACCACUCCAAUUCAAAAUCUCUAUGUUGCUUUCCCUGAACCAAUUCCCCUUCUCUCUGUCCCCCCAUCUCUUGAAAACUCAGGUUCUAUUACAAAACUAAAUGCUUCACUUGACAACUCUAAACAGAUCGUCACAACCCAUAUGCUCGAAUCUAAGAUUUGGCAAGCUCAGGGAAAUGAUUUUGAAGAUGAUGAAGGCAUUGCUAAAUCUGUUGAAAGAAAACCUCCUGCUACUAAGAAGUUAGUGAGUGACAAAGUUUUCUUGACUCGAAACAAAACUAAGCAACAUGAAAAGAUUGCUGGCAAGGUGCCCUCUGUAAUUGAGGGAGGAAAAAAGCUCUCAAAACUAAAGAAGUAGUACGUAUGGCGCACAAGAUAUGUGCCUGGAAUGUCAGGGGCAUGAACUAUCCUGAUAAAACUACUAAAAUUAGAGAUCUUAUAAACAAGGAAGAUAUUAAGAUGAUUGGUUUGAUUGAAACCAAGGUGAAAGCUCAAAACAUGGCUCGUGUGAAAGCAAGGCUGAAUAACUGGAACAUGCUUAGCAACAUAGCUGAAGAUCCAAGGGGCAGAAUAUGGCUCAUGUGGGAUCCAAACUGCUUCAGAAUCCUAUCUGAUGAGAAGACAGAUCAAAUUAUUCAUGUUGAGGUACAAAAUAUCACAACUCUUGAAUGUUUUCUUGUGUUGAUAGUCUAUGCUAGGAAUGAAAUGCAUUUAAGAUGUCAACUUUGGGAUUUCAUCUCCUCUCACAAGCAAAACAUACAUAAACCUUGGGUCAUUAUGGGUGAUUUCAAUACCUGCAAAAGCCAUAAUGAAAAGGUUGGAGGCUCAAUUCUGAGAGAUAGAGACUAUAGAGAUUUUGCUGAAUGUCUUGAACACAAUGACUUGGAAGACAUGAAGGGUUUUGGGGCAUUCUUCUCCUGGACAAACAGAGGAAAUGGAAGGGGCAGAACUAUGAUCAAACUUGAUAGAGUUAUAGUGAAUCAGAACUGGAUACAAGUAUACAACAAGACUGAAGCACACUUCAUUCCUCAAGGAAUUUCUGAUCACUCUCCCAUGGUCAUCAUUUGGCACACUGCAAGAACCAGAAAAACUAGACCCCGUUAGAUUCUUUGAUCACUGGAUGGACCACCCCUUAUUCAAAGAACUAUUGGGAAAUGUUUGGAACAUGCCCGUCACUAGUAAUCCAAUGAUGAAGCUGUACAAAAAAAUGCAAGCCUUGAAGGCAGUUUUGAAACCAUGGAGCAAGACAACUUUUGCUAAUCUGAAACAUAAUGUCGACUUAGCUAAAGAAACCUUGGAAAGAAUUCAAAAUCUCAUACAAAGCCACCCACUUGACGACAGACUAGCAGUAAUGGAGAAAGAGGCUAUCAACACAUACAAGUACUGGGGUUGUGCACAUCGAUCUUCCUUGCAACAGAAAGCAAACUUGAAAUGGGAUGCUAAUGGCGAUGAGAACACAGAAUACUUCCACAAUGUCAUACGAGGUAGAAGAGAGAAGAACUCUAUCUAUAGCUUGGUGGACGCUGACAGAAAUCUGAUUUUGGAUGAGCCUGGGAUUGUCAAUACUGUUGUCACUCACUUCAAGGACAUCUUGGGUACUUCCCCCCAUUAUUGUGAUACAACGUUGAUUGACAGUCAAGUGUCUUUUGAUAACCUUGUGACAGAAGUUGAAGCAACAAACAUGUGCAGAGACAUCACAAGAGAAGAAAUCAAACCUGCUAUGUUUUCCAUGCCAAACAAGAAGGCCCCUGGGCCGGAUGGCUUCAGUGCAACAUUCUUUAAGAAAUCUUGGGAUAUUGUUGGUGAGGAGGUAUGUGUUGCAGUAUUAAAUUUCUUUAAUUGUAACAAAAUGAUGUACUGUACAAAUGCUACUACUCUUUGUCUUGUUCCUAAGAAGGCUAAUCCUACCACUAUGAAUGAUUUUAGACCAAUUGCUUGUACUAACAUCAUAUACAAGUGUAUCUCUAAAAUCCUUGUCAACAGACUCAAAGACUCGCUUGCUAUCAGAAUCAGUCCCAACCAGACAGCCUUUCUCGAAGGAAGAGACAUUUCUGAAAAUAUCAUGCUUUCACAUGAGUUGUUGAGAAAAUAUGGAAGAAAGAACCUAUCUAGUCGAUGCUCUGUGAAAAUAGAUAUCAGAAAAGCUUUUGAUUUCUUAAACUGGCACGCAGUCUUACAUGUUAUGAAGAUGAUACAAAUUCCCGACAAGAUGGUACGAUGGAUUAACACAUGCCUCUCAACCGUUCAUUAUUCUGUGAUGGUAAAUGGUAGUCCUGAGGGGUUUUUUGCUGGUAGGAGAGGCCUUCGCCAAGGCGACCCCUUGUCUCCAUUGUUGUUUGUGAUGACAAUUGAUAUAUGUGGUAAACUGAUUGAAAGAGAGUAUUUUCUUGGCAAUUUCCAACCUCAUCCCAGAUGCAUUGACCCCCUUGUUACACACCUAGCUUUUGCCGAUGACCUUUUGGUCUUUUGUAAACCAACUUCUAGUUCAGCCAGCAGCCUCAAAAAAGCCUUGGACUCCUUUCACUCUUUCUCAGGCCUACAAGCCAAUCCCUUGAAAAGUACCAUACUCUUUGGUGGUGGUGACUAUGAUCAAAACAUUGAGUUUGUUGAUGCUCUCAAUAUGCCAGUGGUGACACCCCCUAUUGUGUACCUUGGACUUCCUUUGAUUUCUUCGAGACUUCUUAUAUCUGACUGCCUCCCUUUGCUUACUAAGAUCAAAGCGUGAAUCUCUUCCUGGUCUACAAAGCUUCUCUCUUUUGCUGGCCGGUUACAACUUUUGAAAUCUGUAUUACUAAGCAACCUCAUUUAUUGGUGCAGAGUUCACAUUCUCCCUAAGGCUGUUACCAUACAACUGAACUCCAUUUGUAGUGCAUUCUUGUGGGCAGGCCCAGGAAUGCAAAGGAAGAAACACCCUAUCAAAUGGACUGAAUGUUGUAGACCAAAAUAUGAGGGUGGAUUAGGGAUAAUGAACAUUGAAGAAUGGAACAAAGCAGCUAUUGGGAAAUUAGUCUUCAAAAUUGCCAGCAAACAAGACUCAUUGUGGUCUCAUUGGAUAUGCAAACAUUUGGUGAAAAAUCAGCAUUUUUGGACCAUGAUCCCAGCCCAUGUGUUCCUACAUAUGGAGAAGCAUGCUACAAGUGAGGCAAGUCAUUCAACCUUUCACUACUCAUAUCAUUGCUAAUGGUAAGAACACAUCUUUUUGGCACGAUCCUUGGCUAGAAAGAGGUAUUUUGAGGGAGAUAGUUCCACUCGCAGAUCGAAGUAGGUUGAGUAUAAGAGAUUUGGCAAAAGUUGAAGAGGUCCUAAUUAAUCAACAAUGGAUACUUCCAGCUACGCAAAACUUCACCUUAACAGGCAUCUGGGAUGACAUCAAGCGAACUGAGAUCGCAAGAAGGGAAGACUCAGACAAAAUUGUUUGGAAACCACACCCCACAGGCAAGUUUACGAUCAAAACUGCUUUUCAUGCUUCCAGAAACAGAGCCUGCAAAAAGAAAUGGACUUGUAUCACUUGGAGCAAGUUAGCCAUUCCGAAACACAACUUUAUAACUUGGCUUGCUAUGCAAGAAGGCCUCACCACCCAAGACAACUUGGUUUACUGGGGAUUACUUAAGGAAGCUAAUUAUGUUCUCUGCAACCACCCGUUUGGUAUUCCCUCUCUUUCGCAGACCAAAAGUCCAGCUGGUUCCCUCACCAAGAAUCAAUGAAAUAGAGAUGACCCUCUCUACCCUCCUAUUUGUUCUGAUUGCCCUUUGUACUCCUUUUCAAGCUUUCCACAACAAAGCCCUAGCAGCAGCAGAAGACCCGUGAUUGAAACUGUCCAACACCUCUUUUUUUAUUAUUGUUUCUCCAAAACUAUCUGGCAUGCAAUACUCUAUUGGUGCGGCUUUCAUAGGGGGUGUAGAAAAUCCCAUAUUGAAUACACUUCUUGACCCACUUCUGUUCGUUGCAGUUGGUUAGUAACACCCACAAAUUGACAGUCUCCUCGUUGUAAUCUAUCAGGCACAGACAUUGUUCUAACUCACUUAACCAAGGACCAGUAUCUAAAAAAACACGAUAAUAAACAGGAACUGGAACCACAUCAGGAGGAAGAAGAACCACUCCAAAGCUAUCAUUGCCAAGGUUGAAUGAGAUUAUCCGAUGCCUUACACGAUUAAACCAAUAUAAGAAUCCGUUCAAACAAACAAUUUUAUCGGUCCUUUGCUUUGUACAUAUGGAUCUUCCCUCGACAGUUGUCCAUGAAGUGUCCCCUAAUGUAAAGAUCUCAAUCUGUGAUUGAUUUUGGUCUUGACAACAACCAACUACUUUAUACUUCUUGGUGAUACUAUCAUACUAACCCAAACCCUAGUCUGAUGAAGUGUGUCGUAAAUACAUUUUUUAAGAACCUAGGUCUUCGCAAAGUUAUGAUUUCCUUGAUUGUUGGAUUACAAACACCAACAUCUUUAUUACCUAUCAAGAAAGAGAACAAACCAUUGCAAUAGGGUGCAUAAGAAUGUGUAACACGGGCAAAAAUCGCGUGGCUGUUUAAAUUUUGUGAUCCUAGUAGCUUCAUCAAUUGAAUAAAAGUGAAAGAAUGCAGAAGCAAACCCUAGCAACUGUAUAUGUUUCUUACGAUGAAAGUCGAAGUCGAUGAAGGUUUGAUCUUCAAUUAUAAAACACCAUGACUUGCAGACGUUUAACUCUAAGCAGGGACUUCUCGGGGACUCUACUAAAUAUUUUGAACAGGAUAUCAUCUGGCAUGUAAAAGUUCGUUGUCGCUGUCUUUUUCUUCUUCGAUUUCACCAUACUUUUGGAGUUAAGAGAGAAAGGAAAAAGGUAGUGUUUGUUUAACCUGUUUUAAGUAUUAUUAGAGAGAAUUUGUUCUUUGUUGGGAGUUCUGAAGGAAAAUAUAUCCUUUUAUAAUGGCCUUUCGAUUUCCUUUGUUGUUGCAACUACAGUAUAAUUAUGCUUUAUUAGGAAAAUUGCCUAAUCCAACUCGUAUACAUUACUGUAUAUGGAUCUUCUCUUCUGGAUAUUUUUACCCUAUUUUUAAAGCAUACGGGUUCAUUUGCUUCUGAUAGUAUAAAACUAAGCACACAUGUUUCUUCUCAUCUCAAUCUAAUUAUUUUUGCGAAUUUUUAAGUGGAGGCUGCGAUGACAUGAUUAAGCCUUUAAUGUAUGCAAUUAACUUGCAGAGAUAGAUAGAAGGAACAGAGGUGUUUAAUACUUUAGUUUGAAAAUGAGACCAACAAAGGGGCUUUAUUCUAUGUUUCAUCAUUCAUGGAUUCAUGGUUGAUUGUUUCUUUUUCCCUCUCUCAGACGGAAAGAGAGAAUAGAAGCAAUUAUCUGUAGAGUUGCAUUCUGUUCUACAUUAGAUCCACAGAUCAUCUUGUCAUUUUCAUCAAAGUUUUAGACAUACUAAUAUUAUGCAAUCAGUUUUUCUGCAACUUUAGACAUAUACCAUUAAAGCUUCAACUAUCUGUCUCACUGCCUGCUUAAAUAUGAUUUGUGUGCAAACAUAUCUAAGAAUUCAAAAAAAUUACACAUUGACAAUUUAAAAUUUCUGUAGUUUCAUGUUCAAGGCAGUCAUUGCAAGUGCAGAUGUAAAUAACCAAAUAUUGAAACAACAUUCAACUGAAAAGAUAGACAAAUUCUUUGAGAUCUCGGUCUCUUUCAAAUCUAGACAGUAGCAACUGAUGGGAUCACAGGAAUGUCAAAACACUGCAUCAGUCUUUUUAAUACACUUCUUAUCAUUAGUUACCAUUGGAACAAAUAUCAGUCCUUUCUAAGUUCGAUAUACUCACGACGGAUUC
rnacentral:lncRNA from 1 species